rnacentral:rRNA from 1 species
AGCGAACGCUGGCGGCAGGCCUAACACAUGCAAGUCGAACGAACUCUUCGGAGUUAGUGGCGGACGGGUGAGUAACACGUGGGAACGUGCCUUUAGGUUCGGAAUAACUCAGGGAAACUUGUGCUAAUACCGAAUGUGCCCUUCGGGGGAAAGAUUUAUCGCCUUUAGAGCGGCCCGCGUCUGAUUAGCUAGUUGGCGAGGUAAAGGCUCACCAAGGCGACGAUCAGUAGCUGGUCUGAGAGGAUGAUCAGCCACAUUGGGACUGAGACACGGCCCAAACUCCUACGGGAGGCAGCAGUGGGGAAUCUUGCGCAAUGGGCGAAAGCCUGACGCAGCCAUGCCGCGUGAAUGAUGAAGGUCUGAGGAUUGUAAAAUUCUUUCACCGGGGACGAUAAUGACGGUACCCGGAGAAGAAGCCCCGGCUAACUUCGUG